UUCCCUCGGAUCCACUCCGUCCCCGUUCUUUUCCUCUCAAACUGCCGCCACCCCGUCGCCGCCUUCCCAUGCUCGACGCGGCGCCGUUCCCCGUCCUCCCAUCGCGUGCGCUAGCUUCUCUCAUCCGCCCGCCCUCGCCUCAUCUCCGGCCUCUGAUCCAAACGGACCCGCCUUCCAUCCGCCAACGGCUAGCUUGUACCGCCGCUCCACCAUCAACACAGGGGCCAAGGGAUGGCCUGCUGCCGCUCCCAUCGGCGCACGGGCUGAGAUGGGGCGCCGCCUCUCCUCCAUUGGGCAGGGACGCGGCUCGGCCAUACGGAGCAAGGCGGCGUGACCGGCCGGCGAGGGAGGACAUGGCGGCGCCUGUACAGGUUCUUCCACCUUUAUCUCCCUUAACUUCCUUCCAGCUCCACCGAGGACCACUCCGCCGUCUUCCCCGAGCAGAUGUACGCCGCGAAAACCUGCCACCACCGGCCGCGGGGCCACCGACCCGUCGUCAUACACUCAUACUCCGAUGAACAAUGCCCCCAUAAAUCAUGCCGGAUCGGCCUCCUCCAUCCCCUCCUUUCCUCCUUGCACGUGCAGCGGCACCCUUCCUUCCCUUGGUCCCUUUCUCGUACGAGAGCCACCUCCCCGAUCUCAUCUCAUACUCGCCAUCCUGGUCGCGUCGGGCCUGACGGCGGCGGCGGCGGGCACUAGGAGUCGGUGAGCGGGAUGGGCGCGGCUGUUCGCGCGUGGCAAGGAGCUCAAUGAGGCGGCAGCAGCCGGCGGCCGUGGCAGGGUCUCCGCUGCUGGUCUUCUUCCCAGACAUACUACGAAUUGCUCAUCUAUCCAUUCAAGAAACGCUAGUAGCAUGUGAUUGGUGAUUCACUGCCUAGGUAGAAGGUGGUAUUGCAAUGGUUGAUACUACCCUUUGAGCCUCCAAAGAUGCAGUUUGUCACCAAAGUAUGGCAUCCUAACAUCAGCAGCCAAAAUGCAGCAAUUUGCUUGGACAUUCUGAUAGAUCAGUGGAGCCCAGCCCUUACUUUAAAGACAGCGCUUCUUUCCCUUCAAGCUCUGCUUUCUUCUUCUGCACCUGAUGAUUCUCAGGAUGCUGUUGUUGCACAACAGGUUUCUACAACAGAAUAGGAGGAAAAAACAGCAGCUACAGGAUGGAAGCCAUAUGAGGCAUUCUCGGGGUUCCUGUUGUCUUGUGGUUGCCAUUGAUUUGUACUUAUGGUGACGAAGGAAUACGCAUUGUGGUGGGUUGCCUUCACUGAAUGUGAAUUACAAUGUCUUUUUAUGUGUAAGGUUGUGAAUGUCUUACAAAGUAGGAAGCCGAUCAAUAAUCAAGCAUUGUUCCUUUGCCCUGGUAUUAUGGUUUCAGCUGUCAUUUCACCUAAUGUUAUGAGGUGUUUGUGCUGGGUGUGGAUUUCUUGUGACUGAGUGAUAUCCUUCCAGUAAUUGUUAUUCAUCCGGUAUCUCCUACCGACAGAUUAUGGGACUCAUGAAUAUGAUGCAUUGUUAUCCGGUUAUCCCAAUGAAAGUUUGCUUAAAGAUAAA